rnacentral:lncRNA from 1 species
AGGUUAGAAAUGUAAAGUCCUUAGGGCAGUGCCUGCUGUGUGGCAAGCCCUAUAUAAUGAUUUACUGUUAGUGUGAUGAUGCCGAGACAGUCUGGAGGGGAGAUCAGUGUCCACAUAGAAAACAUGCUUAGGACAGCUUGAUAGAUAGUGUACUGCAUUAGGCCAAAGAUGCCCCAGGAGUUUAUGAGUAUGUUACCAUACAGGGCAAGAGGGACUUUGUAGAUGUGAUGAAGGGCGUGGAACCUUGAAAUGGGAAGAUUAGCCUGGAUUAUCCAGGUAGGCCAAUCUCAUCACAUAAAUCUUUAAAAGUGGAGAGCCUUGCCGGGCGCGGUGGCUCACGCCUGUAAUCCCAGGACUUUGGGAGGCCGAGGUGGGUGGAUCAUGAGGUUAGGAGAUCGAGACCAUCCUGGUUAACAUGGUGAAACCCCGUCUCUGCUAAAAAAUAGAAAAAGUUAGCCGGGCAUGAUGGCGGGUGCCUGCAGUCCCAGCUACUCUGGAGGCUGAGGCAGGAGAAUGGCGUGAACCCAGGAGGUGGAGCUUGCAGUGAGCCAAGAUCGCGCCGCUGAACUCCAGCCUGGGAGACAGAGCGAGACUCCGUCUCAAAAAAGAA